rnacentral:rRNA from 1 species
GACGAACGCUGGCGGCGUGCUUAACACAUGCAAGUCGAACGGAAAGGCCCUUCGGGGUACUCGAGUGGCGAACGGGUGAGUAACACGUGGGUGAUCUGCCCUGCACUUUGGGAUAAGCCUGGGAAACUGGGUCUAAUACCGAAUAGGACCACGCGCUUCAUGGUGUGUGGUGGAAAGCUUUUGCGGUGUGGGAUGGGCCCGCGGCCUAUCAGCUUGUUGGUGGGGUAAUGGCCUACCAAGGCGACGACGGGUAGCCGGCCUGAGAGGGUGACCGGCCACACUGGGACUGAGAUACGGCCCAGACUCCUACGGGAGGCAGCAGUGGGGAAUAUUGCACAAUGGGCGCAAGCCUGAUGCAGCGACGCCGCGUGAGGGAUGACGGCCUUCGGGUUGUAAACCUCUUUCAAUAGGGACGAAGCGCAAGUGACGGUACCUAUAGAAGAAGCACCGGCCAACUACGUGCCAGCAGCCGCGGUAAUACGUAGGGUGCGAGCGUUGUCCGGAAUUACUGGGCGUAAAGAGCUCGUAGGUGGUUUGUCGCGUUGUUCGUGAAAACUCACAGCUUAACUGUGGGCGUGCGGGCGAUACGGGCAGACUAGAGUACUGCAGGGGAGACUGGAAUUCCUGGUGUAGCGGUGGAAUGCGCAGAUAUCAGGAGGAACACCGGUGGCGAAGGCGGGUCUCUGGGCAGUAACUGACGCUGAGGAGCGAAAGCGUGGGGAGCGAACAGGAUUAGAUACCCUGGUAGUCCACGCCGUAAACGGUGGGUACUAGGUGUGGGUUCCUUCCUUGGGAUCCGUGCCGUAGCUAACGCAUUAAGUACCCCGCCUGGGGAGUACGGCCGCAAGGCUAAAACUCAAAGGAAUUGACGGGGGCCCGCACAAGCGGCGGAGCAUGUGGAUUAAUUCGAUGCAACGCGAAGAACCUUACCUGGGUUUGACAUGCACAGGACGCCGGCAGAGAUGUCGGUUCCCUUGUGGCCUGUGUGCAGGUGGUGCAUGGCUGUCGUCAGCUCGUGUCGUGAGAUGUUGGGUUAAGUCCCGCAACGAGCGCAACCCUUGUCCUAUGUUGCCAGCGGGUUAUGCCGGGGACUCGUAGGAGACUGCCGGGGUCAACUCAGAGGAAGGUGGGGAUGACGUCAAGUCAUCAUGCCCCUUAUGUCCAGGGCUUCACACAUGCUACAAUGGCCGGUACAAAGGGCUGCGAUGCCGUGAGGUGGAGCGAAUCCUUUCAAAGCCGGUCUCAGUUCGGAUCGGGGUCUGCAACUCGACCCCGUGAAGUCGGAGUCGCUAGUAAUCGCAGAUCAGCAACGCUGCGGUGAAUACGUUCCCGGGCCU